CAACCGAGUUGUAAUUUGGAGACGGGACACUAGAGAGGAGGAAGGCGAUUAAGUGCCUUGGAACAGGCUGCCGUAGAGGGUGAGAGCCCCGUGAAUCGCUGGAGACCGAUCAAUUAGUGCCCGCCGAAGAGUCGAGUUGUUUGGGAAUGCAGCUCUAAGUGGGUGGUAUAUUCCAUCUAAGGCUAAAUAUUAGCGAGAGACCGAUAGCAAACAAGUACAGUGAUGGAAAGAUGAAAAGAACUUUGGAAAGAGAGUGAAAUAGUACGUGAAAUUGUUGAAAGGGAAGGGUAUUUGAUCCGACAUGGUGUUUAGCAGCGGCCCGUUCCUCGUGGAUGGGUGCACCUGGUUUACACUGGGCCAGCAUCGGUUCUGGGAGCCAUAUACGGGGUUCGUGAAUGUGGCCCUUCGAUUCUGUCGGAGGGUGUUAUAGCGCGGACAUCUUGUGGCUAGCCGGGACCGGGGACUGCGGUGACUUUCACC
rnacentral:rRNA from 1 species